UACGGAGGGGGCUAGUGUUGUUCGGAUUUACUGGGCGUACAGGGAGCGUAGGCGGUUGGAUAAGCCCUCCGUGAAAUCUCCAGGCUUAACCUGGAAAGUGCAGAGGGGACUGUUCAGCUAGAGGAUGGGAGAGGAGCGCGGAAUUCCCGGUGUAGCGGUGAAAUGCGUAGAGAUCGGGAGGAAGGCCGGUGGCGAAGGCGGUUCUCUGGGCAUUACCUGACGCUGAGGAGGCGAAAGCAUGGGGAGCGAACAGG
rnacentral:rRNA from 1 species